UUCAUCGCCAACGGGGGCUCGCACCAGCGGGCUGAGAGGACGGCUAGCCCAUUCGGGCGGUCAGGGCCGUCGACCGUAUGAACCUGACCGGGUAAUGCCGGCGUAGGGAGGAACAACCAUGGCAUC
rnacentral:ncRNA from 1 species